rnacentral:rRNA from 1 species
GACGAACGCUGGCGGCGUGCUUAACACAUGCAAGUCGAGCGGAGCGGCGAACGGGUGAGUCAAGCGUGAGUAAAUGCCCCCCUCCCUGGGAUAACAGUUGGAAACGGAUGCUAAUAUCGGAUAGUGGGGGAUGACUUGCGUCCUAUCAGCUUGUUAGUGGGUUAGUGGCCUACCACGGCGACGACGGGUAGCCGGCCUGAUGAGGGGACCGGCCACAUUGGGCGGAGGUAGGGACAAAAAGACAACGGGAGGCAGCAGAGGGGAAUAUUGCGCAAUGGGGGAAACCCUGAUGAAGCAAGGCCGGGUGGGGGAAGACGGCCUUCGGGUUGUAAACCGCUUGAAGCCAUGACGCGGUAGGGGCAGAAGAAGCACCGGCGAACUACGUGCCAGCAGCCGCGGUAAUAC